rnacentral:rRNA from 1 species
AGGGAAUAUUGCACAAUGGGCGAAAGCCUGAUGCAGCAACGCCGCGUGUGCGAUGAAGGCCUUCGGGUCGUAAAGCACUUUUCUGGGAGAUGAGAAAGGACAGUAUCUCAGGAAUAAGUCUCGGCUAACUACGUGCCAGCAGCCGCGGUAAAACGUAGGAGGCAAGCGUUAUCCGGAUUCACUGGGUGUAAAGCGCGUGCAGGCGGUUCGGUAAGUUGGGCGUGAAAUCUCCUGGCUCAACUAGGAGAGGUCGUUCAAUACUACCGGACUUGAGAGUGGUAGAGGAAGAUGGAAUUCCCGGUGUAGUGGUGAAAUGCGUAGAUAUCGGGAGGAACACCAGUGGCGAAGGCGAUCUUCUGGACCAUUUCUGACGCUCAGGCGCGACAGCUAGGGUAGCAAACG